rnacentral:misc_RNA from 1 species
GAUUUCUCUAUAUUUUUAUUAUAGGGGGAUUAAGAUUGAUGCCCUAAAUUCUACCAUACUUGGUGUUCUUUGCUCACGAGGUUCAAUCUAGAAAAAUAGAUAUUUUACUUUUUGAAAUUUUAUUUUUCCUUAGACAUAGGGUUUUGUUGCUUCUGCAUCAUUAAGCAGGUGGGUCUUUUGCUUUCAAUGUCCUUUUAUCAUCUUUAUCAUAAUUUUUCCCCAUUAUAUGGAUUAUGAGAGUGAUCAGAUCUUGCAAAGAAAAAAUUGGUGACUUAAAGGUUUACAGGUUCAAAAUUGCUAUCAUUUUGUCUUAUGGUUAAAAGGGACAAAUGUUUCCAACAAUUGCCAGUUAAAUAAGUAAAAAGAAUGGCACCUUCAAGUAUAAUUGAAGAAGAAAUAGACGAAGCAAUUAUAAAACAAAACAUGUAAAAAUCAAUCACUACAAGAAAAUGUAAUCAAUUACUAAAGAAAUGCUUAAAGCUUGUGGGAUAUUACUUCUUGUUCAUUAAUAUAUAGAUACCUGGAGUAGGAUUUAAUAUCAAUGCUUUAAAUAUUAUAUGAGAGACAUUUAUAUAUAGGUACUUGAGUCUUCUGUUUGUAAAUUACUUUUCUCGACGAGAUUUUGUAAGGAAUGAAUCGUUAGAUUGGGCUGAUG